UACGGGGGGGCAAGCGUUGUUCGGAAUUACUGGGCGUAAAGGGCGCGUAGGCGGUUCGCUAAGUUGGAUGUGAAAACUCUGGGCUCAACCCAGAGCCUGCAUCCAAAACUGGCGGGCCAGAGUUCUGGAGGGGAUAGCGGAAUUCCUGGUGUAGCGGUGAAAUGCGCCAGAUAUCAGGAGGAACACCGGUGGCGAAGGCGGGUCUCUGGGCCGAUACUGACGCUGAGGAGCGAAAGCGUGGGGAGCGAACAGG
rnacentral:rRNA from 1 species